rnacentral:rRNA from 1 species
CAGGCUUAACACAUGCAAGUCGAGGGGCAGCAUGGUCUUAGCUUGCUAAGGCCGAUGGCGACCGGCGCACGGGUGAGUAACACGUAUCCAACCUGCCGUCUACUCUUGGACAGCCUUCUGAAAGGAGGAUUAAUACAAGAUGGCAUCAUGAGUCCGCAUGUUCACAUGAUUAAAGGUAUUCCGGUAGACGAUGGGGAUGCGUUCCAUUAGAUAGUAGGCGGGGUAACGGCCCACCUAGUCUUCGAUGGAUAGGGGUUCUGAGAGGAAGGUCCCCCACAUUGGAACUGAGACACGGUCCAAACUCCUACGGGAGGCAGCAGUGAGGAAUAUUGGUCAAUGGGCGAGAGCCUGAACCAGCCAAGUAGCGUGAAGGAUGACUGCCCUAUGGGUUGUAAACUUCUUUUAUAAAGGAAUAAAGUCGGGUAUGGAUACCCGUUUGCAUGUACUUUAUGAAUAAGGAUCGGCUAACUCCGUGCCAGCAGCCGCGGUAAUACGGAGGAUCCGAGCGUUAUCCGGAUUUAUUGGGUUUAAAGGGAGCGUAGAUGGAUGUUUAAGUCAGUUGUGAAAGUUUGCGGCUCAACCGUAAAAUUGCAGUUGAUACUGGAUAUCUUGAGUGCAGUUGAGGCAGGCGGAAUUCGUGGUGUAGCGGUGAAAUGCUUAGAUAUCACGAAGAACUCCGAUUGCGAAGGCAGCCUGCUAAGCUGCAACUGACAUUGAGGCUCGAAAGUGUGGGUAUCAAACAGGAUUAGAUACCCUGGUAGUCCACACGGUAAACGAUGAAUACUCGCUGUUUGCGAUAUACGGCAAGCGGCCAAGCGAAAGCGUUAAGUAUUCCACCUGGGGAGUACGCCGGCAACGGUGAAACUCAAAGGAAUUGACGGGGGCCCGCACAAGCGGAGGAACAUGUGGUUUAAUUCGAUGAUACGCGAGGAACCUUACCCGGGCUUAAAUUGCAGAUGAAUUACGGUGAAAGCCGUAAGCCGCAAGGCAUCUGUGAAGGUGCUGCAUGGUUGUCGUCAGCUCGUGCCGUGAGGUGUCGGCUUAAGUGCCAUAACGAGCGCAACCCUUGUUGUCAGUUACUAACAGGUUCCGCUGAGGACUCUGACAAGACUGCCAUCGUAAGAUGUGAGGAAGGUGGGGAUGACGUCAAAUCAGCACGGCCCUUACGUCCGGGGCUACACACGUGUUACAAUGGGGGGUACAGAGGGCCGCUACCACGCGAGUGGAUGCCAAUCCCCAAAACCUCUCUCAGUUCGGACUGGAGUCUGCAACCCGACUCCACGAAGCUGGAUUCGCUAGUAAUCGCGCAUCAGCCACGGCGCGGUGAAUACGUUCCCGGGCCUUGUACACACCGCCCGUCAAGCCAUGGGAGCCGGGGGUACCUGAAGUGCGUAACCGCGAGGAGCGCCCUAGGGUAAAACUGGUGACUGGGGCUAAGUCGU